CAACUUUCAACAACGGAUCUCUUGGCUCUCGCACCGAUGAAGAACGCAGCGAAAUGCGAUAAGUAAUGUGAAUUGCAGAAUUCAGUGAAUCAUCGAAUCUUUGAACGCACCUUGCGCCCCUUGGUAUUCCGAGGGGCAUGCCUGUUUGAGUGUCAGUA
rnacentral:rRNA from 1 species